CCCCAGGAGGAAGAAACCUCAGACAGAUCGCCGGGGAGGCAGCGCGGGAUCCCAGCCUCAGGCGUGCGCGGACGGUGUGCGGCUGAAUACUAAAAGUGCUGUAGGCUGGACCCGCACUACCUGACAGGGAGAUAAAUGACUAAAGGCAAAUGGGAGUCAAAACAGGUGUGGCUUUUCUUAUUUUUAAUUAAGCAUCUUACAUAGCAAAUUUUGCAAAACUCGUAUGACCCCGAGAAAGACCCAUACACAUGAAAGGUCUUAAAGAUUUAACUUUCUUAGCUUUAACGUAAGCUUUCCACUGGAUUUUCCCAUUACACUCAUUCCAUAAAGAAAUGAAAUAAUCAUAUAUCUCAUUAUAUAAUUAUACUAAAUUGAUCUCGACACAUUUUCUUAGCAAUAUAUACCAACAUUGUUUCCAAUAUUGUUUAUUACAAAUGAUGCUACAGUUGAAAUCUUUAUAUCUGAACGCUUGUGUGUGUGUGCGUACCUAUUCUGUGUAUAACACUGAUUUUAUUUAUUUGUAUAGGCCUGGAAGUGGAAAUACUGUGACAUAAAAUAGAGGCACAGCAAAUUAUUCAAGAUGUCGACAAACAGCAUUGUUUCCAAGUUUUUGUUCCCUUACAAUCCUUGCCAUUGGCCAAUCUCUCAGAAUCCCGUGUUGCUUAACAUUUGGUAGCUUAGUAAAUAUUUUAAAUCUCAGAGAUUUUACCUAACUGAUACCAGGGUUUUUAAAAUUUGUUUAUAUAGAUUAAGCGUCUUUGAAGAAAUAACAGUAUGCAAAAAAUAUGGUUGCUAUUCUUCAUGUUAAAACUAUCUUAAACUCUUUUCCAGAGGAAAAAAUAACAAAAUAGAAACCAAUGAAGGUCUUUUGCUUGGUGAUUACAUAUAUUGAUUACCUGUGUAAGUUAAACAGAUUGGGAAAAGGAAAUAUCCAAAAUUGUGCCUAGAGUAUAUCAUGACAUCAUGUAUAUAUGUAAAUAAGUUAAUUUUUGCAAUCGCAACAUAGAGAAAAAUGUUAUUUUAAAUGAAUAAAAAUAAAUAGAACAUAAAGUAAUAUUUCAGCAUAUUAAAUUUAGGAGUAAAAACCUUUGACAUCCCUGAAAAUCUUUGGUAAAAAGUCCAGAUUAUGAUAACUUGGCUUUAAUGAACUA
rnacentral:lncRNA from 1 species